rnacentral:rRNA from 1 species
GCAAGUCGAACGAUCUCUUCGGAGAUAGUGGCGGACGGGUUAGUAACGCGUGGGAAUAUACCCUUAGGUAAGGAACAACAGCUGGAAACGGCUGCUAAUACCUUAUGAUGUCUUCGGACCAAAGAUUUAUCGCCUAAGGAUUAGCCCGCGUUGGAUUAGGUAGUUGGGGGGGUAAUGGCCCACCAAGCCUACGAUCCAUAGCUGGUUUGAGAGGAUGAUC